CAUCUGUAGCUACGGCUGAG
rnacentral:piRNA from 1 species